UACGGAGGGGGCUAGCGUUGUUCGGAAUUACUGGGCGUAAAGCGCACGUAGGCGGCUUUGUAAGUUAGAGGUGAAAGCCCAGGGCUUAACUCUGGAAUUGCCUUUAAGACUGCAUCGCUAGAAUCGUGGAGAGGUGAGUGGAAUUCCGAGUGUAGAGGUGAAAUUCGUAGAUAUUCGGAAGAACACCAGUGGCGAAGGCGACUCACUGGACACGUAUUGACGCUGAGGUGCGAAAGCGUGGGGAGCGAACGGG
rnacentral:rRNA from 1 species